rnacentral:rRNA from 1 species
AUUGAACGCUGGCGGCAGGCCUAACACAUGCAAGUCGAGCGGAUGAAGGGAGCUUGCUCCUGGAUUCAGCGGCGGACGGGUGAGUAAUGCCUAGGAAUCUGCCUGGUAGUGGGGGAUAACGUCCGGAAACGGGCGCUAAUACCGCAUACGUCCUGAGGGAGAAAGUGGGGGAUCUUCGGACCUCACGCUAUCAGAUGAGCCUAGGUCGGAUUAGCUAGUUGGUGGGGUAAAGGCCUACCAAGGCGACGAUCCGUAACUGGUCUGAGAGGAUGAUCAGUCACACUGGAGCUGAGACACGGUCCAGACUCCUACGGGAGGCAGCAGUGGGGAAUAUUGGACAAUGGGCGAAAGCCUGAUCCAGCCAUGCCGCGUGUGUGAAGAAGGUCUUCGGAUUGUAAAGCACUUUAAGUUGGGAGGAAGGGCAGUAAGUUAAUACCUUGCCGUUUUGACGUUACCAACAGAAUAAGCACCGGCUAACUUCGUG